UUGUGUAGUUAAAACUUAGGAGUCUGUAUUUUGGCUGUUUUUAAAUACUUUUGAUUUUGCCUUCAUAUUUCUCAUCAAAAAAGUGCUUAUCUUGCCUUAUUUGGUAUAAUUUUUUUCAGCACAACCUCACCUGUGUGACAGUGCAGUCAUAUUUUUUUUUCAUUUCGCAUGCUGUAUUAA